GACGAACGCUGGCGGCGUGCUUAACACAUGCAAGUCGAACGGAAAGGCCCUGCUUGCCGGGUACUCGAGUGGCGAACGGGUGAGUAACACGUGGGUGAUCUGCCCUUCACUUCGGGAUAAGCCUGGGAAACUGGGUCUAAUACCGGAUAGGAGCCAUUUUUAGUGUGAUGGUUGGAAAGUUUUUUCGGUGUAGGAUGAGCUUACGGCCUAUCAGCUUGUUGGUGGGGUAAUGGCCUACCAAGGCGGCGACGGGUAGCCGGCCUGAGAGGGUGGACGGCCACAUUGGGACUGAGAUACGGCCCAGACGCCUACGGGAGGCAGCAGUGGGGAAUAUUGCACAAUGGGCGCAAGCCUGAUGCAGCGACGCCGCGUGGGGGAUGACGGCCUUCGGGUUGUAAACUCCUUUCGCUAGGGACGAAGCUUUUGUGACGGUACCUAGAUAAGAAGCACCGGCUAACUACGUG
rnacentral:rRNA from 1 species